CUCCCGGGCCUGGAGCCUCGGUGGGGCUGGGUGGGGGGCUGCGCCUCCCCGACACCAAGCCCCCCUGGGACCUCCCUGGGGGAAGGGGCCGGGUGUUCGCAGCCAGACUUCAGCGUCCUCGCGUGCAGAUCCCUGCGUGGUCCAGGGCCUGGCUUUUCCGCGGAGGGUGACGCUUCCCUCAGACCCUCAGGGGACAGUGGCGGGUUCCCCAGCCCAAGUGCCCCCAACUCCCAGGCGGACUGGAAGGGGCUCCUCGGAAUUCUGAAUCUCGGCUACAGACCUAACACUACACUCAGCAAGAGCUUCAGGCCGACUUGAAAAUGUGAAUGAGAAACAGAAACUUCAUGCAGCCCUUUGCUUUACCCUGCUGUCCCAGGGCAGAAGCCAGGCAUUGUGGCGCACAUCUGUCAUCUCAGGACCAGGGAGGCUGAGGCAGGAGAAUCGACCCAAGUUCGACGCCAGCCUGGGCUACAUAGUGAGUUCAAGGCCAACCUGAACUGCACAGGGAGACUCUGUCUCCAAAAAACUCCCCCAAGUCUGAAACAAAACAAAAGAAAACUCAUCGCAGCUGCUCGAGGCUGUCGGGGUGCUCUUGGGCCUGGGGACAGGAAACAGGUCAGGG
rnacentral:lncRNA from 1 species